rnacentral:rRNA from 1 species
GACGAACGCUGGCGGCGUGCCUAAUACAUGCAAGUCGAACGCUGAAAGGGGAGCUUGCUUCUCUGGAUGAGUUCCGCACGCGGGAGUAUCGCGUAGGUAUCCUCCCUGGUAGCGGGGGGGAACUAUUGGAGACGCUAGCUAAUACACCAUAAAAGUAGAUGUUCCAUAACAUUUAAUUAAAAAAUGCAAUUUUAUCACUACCUGAUGAUCCUGCGUCGUAUUAUCUAGUUGGUGAGGUAACGGCUCAACAACGCAACGAUACAUAGCCGCCCUGGUAGGGGGAUCGGCCACACUGGGACUGGGACACGGCCCAGACUCCUACGGGAGGCAGCAGUAGGGAAUUUUCGGCAAUUGACGGAAGGCUUAACGGGCAACGGCGCGUGAAGGGAGAAGGUUCUCGGAUCGUAAAGCUUCGUUGAAAGAGAAGGACGAGUGGGGUAGGGGAAAAUUCACAUUGUGACGGUACCUUACCAGAAAGGGACGGCUAACUACGUG